rnacentral:rRNA from 1 species
UACGUAGGUGGCAAGCGUUGUCCGGAUUUAUUGGGUUUAAAGGGUGCGUAGGCGGCUUGAUAAGUCAGUGGUGAAAGCCGAUCGCUUAACGAUCGAAUUGCCAUUGAUACUGCCAGGCUUGAGUACAGUUGAGGUAGGCGGAAUUGACAGUGUAGCGGUGAAAUGCGUAGAUAUCUGUAGGAACACCCGUGGCGAAGGCGGCUCGCUGGACCGCAACUGACGCUGAGGAACGAAAGCUAGGGGAGCAAACAGG